rnacentral:sRNA from 1 species
CAGAGAACUGAACAAGAUAAUACAUGAAGGUGCAUAUCAAAGAGUCUCGCAUGCUCUGCUGGAUCACACAAAAGUUGGGAAGAGAAGGGUGUCAACUAGACUACAUCAAAAUCUGGGCAGAGGGAGGACAAAGAGCUGCCUAAAGAAACUGGUAACUGGAGCAAACUUCAAAGAUCAAGAUGACCCUAGUCAACGGAACCAGCAGCCCAGCAACACCAGCUCUGGCAGCACCAGUGAAUAAGAAUCACAACCUGGAUGGGCUCCAAGUCCAACUUCACCACACUCAGAUGGGAUUCAGAAAAGUUUCACCAGAGCCCGACUCACAUUCUAUCAUGUGGAAAGCACUCUGCUGAGGAGCCCUGUUCCUCUAAGAUACACAUGUGACA